UACAGAGGUCUCAAGCGUUGUUCGGAUUCAUUGGGCGUAAAGGGUGCGUAGGCGGUCGCGGUAAGUCGGGUGUGAAAUCUCGGAGCUUAACUCCGAAACUGCAUUCGAUACUGCCGUGCUUGAGGACUGGAGAGGAGACUGGAAUUUACGGUGUAGCGGUGAAAUGCGUAGAUAUCGUAAGGAAGACCAGUGGCGAAGGCGGGUCUCUGGACAGUUCCUGACGCUGAGGCACGAAGGCCAGGGGAGCAAAACGGG
rnacentral:rRNA from 1 species